rnacentral:rRNA from 1 species
CCUACGGGCGGCAGCAGUGAGGAAUAUUGGUCAAUGGACGAGAGUCUGAACCAGCCAAGUAGCGUGAAGGAUGACUGCCCUAUGGGUUGUAAACUUCUUUUAUAUGGGAAUAAAAUGUUCCACGUGUGGGAUUUUGUAUGUACCAUAUGAAUAAGGAUCGGCUAAUUCCGUGCCAGCAGCCGCGGUAAUACGGAGGAUCCGAGCGUUAUCCGGAUUUAUUGGGUUUAAAGGGAGCGUAGGUGGAAUGUUAAGUGUGUUGUGAAAGUUUGCGGCUCAACCGUAAAAUUGCGGUUGAAACUGGCUGUCUUGAGUGCAGUAGAGGUAGGCGGAAUUCGUGGUGUAGCGGUGAAAUGCUUAGAUAUCACGAAGAACUCCGAUUGCGAAGGCAGCAUACUGGAGUGCAACUGACGCUGAGGCUCGAAGGUGUGGGUAUCGAACAGGAUUAGAUACCCUAGUAGUC